rnacentral:rRNA from 1 species
UACGAAGGGUGCAAACGUUGUUCGGAAUUACUGGGCGUAAAGCGCGUGUAGGCGGCUAAGUAAGUCGGGCGUGAAAUCCCACGGCUCAACCGUGGAAGUGCACUCGAAACUGGAUGGCUAGAGUCCUGGAGAGGAAGGUGGAAUGCUUGGUGUAGAGGUGAAAUUCGUAGAUAUCAAGCGGAACACCGGUGGCGAAGGCGGCCUUCUGGACCAGU